rnacentral:rRNA from 1 species
UACGAGAGCCUCGAGCGUUAUCCGGAAUUAUUGGGCGUAAAGGGUGCGUAGGUUGUUCUGUUAGUCUUUUAUUAAAGCCAGGGGCUUAACCUCUGAAUCGUAAGAGAAACGGCAGAACUAGAAAGUGCGAGGGGUGUACGGAACUCAUGGUGUAGGGGUGAAAUCCGUUGAUAUCAUGGGGAACACCAAAAGCGAAAGCAGUACACUGGCGCAUAUUUGACACUGAAGCACGAAAGCGUGGGUAGCGAAU